rnacentral:rRNA from 1 species
GACGAACGCUGGCGGCGUGCCUAAUACAUGCAAGUUGAGCGAUGAAGAUUGGUGCUUGCACCAAUUUGAAGAGCAGCGAACGGGUGAGUAACGCGUGGGUAAUCUGCCUUUGAGCGGGGGACAACAUUUGGAAACGAAUGCUAAUACCGCAUAACAACUUUAAACAUAAGUUUUAAGUUUGAAAGAUGCAAUUGCAUCACUCAAAGAUGAUCCCGCGUUGUAUUAGCUAGUUGGUGAGGUAAAGGCUCACCAAGGCGAUGAUACAUAGCCGACCUGAGAGGGUGAUCGGCCACAGUGGGACUGAGACACGGCCCAAACUCCUACGGGAGGCAGCAGUAGGGAAUCUUCGGCAAUGGACGAAAGUCUGACCGAGCAACGCCGCGUGAGUGAAGAAGGUUUUCGGAUCGUAAAACUCUGUUGGUAGAGAAGAACGUUGGUGAGAGUGGAAAGCUCAUCAAGUGACGGUAACUACCCAGAAAGGGACGGCUAACUACGUG